GAUGAACGCUGGCGGCGUGCCUAAUACAUGCAAGUCGAACGCUUCACUUCGGUGAAGAGUGGCGAACGGGUGAGUAAUACAUAAGUAACCUGGCAUCUACAGGGGGAUAACUGAUGGAAACGUCAGCUAAGACCGCAUAGGUGUAGAGAUCGCAUGAACUCUAUAUGAAAAGUGCUACGGGACUGGUAGAUGAUGGACUUAUGGCGCAUUAGCUUGUUGGUAGGGUAACGGCCUACCAAGGCGACGAUGCGUAGCCGACCUGAGAGGGUGACCGGCCACACUGGGACUGAGACACGGCCCAGACUCCUACGGGAGGCAGCAGUAGGGAAUUUUCGGCAAUGGGGGAAACCCUGACCGAGCAACGCCGCGUGAAGGAAGAAGUAAUUCGUUAUGUAAACUUCUGUCAUAGAGGAAGAACGGUGGAUAUAGGGAAUGAUAUCCAAGUGACGGUACUC
rnacentral:rRNA from 1 species